UACGUAGGGUGCAAGCGUUGUCCGGAAUUACUGGGCGUAAAGAGCGCGCAGGCGGUCGUUCAAGUCGAGUGUGAAAGCCCCCGGCUCAACUGGGGAGGGUCACUCGAUACUGAUCGACUUGAAGGCAGGAGAGGGAAGCGGAAUUCCCGGUGUAGUGGUGAAAUGCGUAGAUAUCGGGAGGAACACCAGUGGCGAAGGCGGCUUCCUGGCCUGUUCUUGACGCUGAGGCGCGAAAGCGUGGGGAGCGAACAGG
rnacentral:rRNA from 1 species